UAUUUUCUCAUUAAAACACACCAAAAAAGCACAAAAAGAUGAUUUCCGACACGACUCUCGCAGUUUUCAGCAACAUUUUGGGCGUUCUCUUGUUCCUGAUGGUCGUAGCGUACCAUUAUGUGACAGCCAACAGCACCGGAAGAACAUCCGUAAACAAACUGAAGUAACUCGUUUUAA